UUCUCGCCACAGGCAGCCAUCAUUACAAGACUGGUCACAAUCUUCUACAGUCAUGAUUCUAUACUUACAGUGCGUGCGUCUGCCCAUAAUACAAAAUAUUUAAAAAUUUUAACGUAACUGCUGUUAUUUGAUAUGUAUACUUCUGGCAACCUGCCCUUUCAAAUUCACCAUCGUGUCUGAAAUUUAGCCAUCUUGAUUAUCUGAUUGCAUUUUAAAUUGGGCUUCUCUGUAGCUGCACUAUUAUCAUUGGGUGUGUGCUCUUCUGCCCUGAAAGCUCACCUAACCAACAACAUCUGGUUCGGCCCAGUGAAACCCAAU
rnacentral:lncRNA from 1 species